UCAGAUUUCGAAGGGACUUUUUUUUUAUUAUUAAUUAAUAUUUUAUUUUUAUUUUAUUUGUCAUUUUUUAUUUUUCUUUUUUUUUAUUAUUAUUUUAUUUUAUUAAUUUUUUUAAAAAACAAAGAAAGGAAAGUCACUCACGUGAACUUUCUUUCUUCUUUCCUCUUUUCUUUUCUUUUUUUUCUUAUUAUUUUUAUUUAUUAAGUCUUUAUCCCCAAGUCUCCAACAGGGGUAUUUUGGUCUUUGAUCUGUACCAGAGCCAACCCUAUUUUGUCACUAUAAAUACACUGUCCAAUCAUUGGAAAGAGGGUCCGAAAAUUCACUGUAGCCGCGUCAGAGUCAAAUCAGUCCAAUCAAUACAAACCCUAAUCCUUUCUCUCUCAUACCAAAUACAGAUCAAACACAAAGAAAAAUCACAAAAAUUAUGAACAAUCUCAAGAACACAUGAACCUUGACCCUUUCCAAAAAUACGAAUCAACACCAUUUCAACAAAAGAAAAACGGUUCGAUCCAAUCAACAUCACAAAACAACUUUCGUAACAAAUCAAAAUCGGAAAACGCAAGGUUUAGACCAAACCAAACCGGUUCGAGGACGAAAACGGAGCUGAACUGAACUGAGUCUUCAAGCUUCAAAGAACCAGAUCGGAGCUAAAUAGACCGGAUUCGCGAGAAAGAAAAAGGAACGCGCACAUAAAGGAAGAACAAGAGCAAAUCGGACCAGAAACAACAACAACAAAGCAAAAAGAGGUAAAAAAAAUUUCAAAUCUUCAUUUGUAGAUCUAGCUCAAAUCUCUCUACCCUUUUUAAAACUAAUACCGGAUUUGUAUAGAGGAGAAGGAGAAAAAGCUUUUGAUGUAAAAAAAUUCAAAAAAAAUAAAUAAAAAAAGCUCCGACGCGGCGGCGCUAUGGCCG
rnacentral:lncRNA from 1 species